CCUACGGGAGGCAGCAGUGAGGAAUAUUGGUCAAUGGCCGGAAGGCUGAACCAGCCAAGCGGCGUGAAGGACGAAGGUGCCAAGCAUUGUAAACUUCUUUUGUCAAGGGACAAAAUCAGGCUCGAGAGCCUGACCGAGGGUACUUGAAGAAAAAGCAUCGGCUAACUCCGUGCCAGCAGCCGCGGUAAUACGGAGGAUGCGAGCGUUAUCCGGAUUUAUUGGGUUUAAAGGGUGCGUAGGCGGGCUGUUAAGUCAGCGGUAAAAGCACGGGGCUCAACCCCGGCGAGCCGUUGAAACUGGCUGUCGUGAGAUGUCGAGAGGUAUGCGGAAUGCGCAGUGUAGCGGUGAAAUGCUUAGAUAGUGCGCAGAACUCCGAUUGCGAAGGCAGCAUACCGGCGGCGAUCUGACGCUGAGGCACGAAAGCGUGGGUAUCGAACAGGAUUAGAUACCCCUGUAGUC
rnacentral:rRNA from 1 species